rnacentral:lncRNA from 1 species
UCGACAUCAGUGGUCACGUGAUCACCGCAAUUGGACUUUGAUACAAUGGCGUCAAGUCCAUUGGUCUGACGAUUGCAGAUUCCUCCUACGUCAUAUUGAUAGGCACAUGCGCGUAUGGCGUCCUCGGGAUACAGCAUACAAGAAACAUCACAACCUUGUAACUACAGCGUUUGGUUGUGGGGAUGUGACAAUUUGGGAAUGAUUUGUAUUCGACUGAAAAAUUGUCCUUUAUGGUCUGGAUGGGACUAUAACGGGUUACAAAUACCGCGAUAAAAUCAUCCGUGAUAUCGUUGUGCCACAUUUUGACAAUAACAAU